rnacentral:lncRNA from 10 species
UGAUAUUAAGGGCUAGGUCUGUAUUUCUAACACCUAGUAGAUGACCCUCCAUCAAUAUUUGCUGGAUAAAUUAACUUUUGAAUGUCAGGAACCCCUUAAGCUUUUCACAUUGGCCCCUUAUAAUGACAUUGUGAGGCAGAUGUUAUGAUCCCUCUCUUAUAGAAGAGAAAAAUGAGAUUCAGAGCAUUUUAGAAGAGCUUUGUUCAAGAUUACACAGCACAUAGAGUGUGGUACUAUGAUUUGCAUGCAGGUUUAAUCUUGUACCCUUAACCAGUGGCCUUUGCUAACUCCUAAAGAGUAGUGAGUGCUCAGGAUGUGGUUGCUCUGGUUACAAGAAGAAAUGAUCUCGGCCGGGCGCAGUGGCUCAUGCCUGUAAUCCCAGCACUUUGGGAGGCCGAGGAGGGAAGAUCACGAGGUCAAGAGAUCAAGACCAUCCUGUCCAACAUGAUGAAACCCUGUCUCUACUAAAAAAUACAAAAAUUAGCUGGGCAUGGUGGCACGCGCCUGUAGUCCCACCUACUCGGGAGGCUGAGGCAGGAGAAUCACUUGAACCCAGGAGAUGGAGGUUGCAGUGAGCCGAGAUCGCACCACUGCACUCCAGCCUGGUGACAGAGCGAGACUUUGUCUAAAAAAAAAAGAAAGAAAGAAAUGGGUCUCAUCUCAACUAGCUCUGUUUGUUUUGUUUGUGUGUUAUCAAAGUACCUGGACUUUAUGGAAUCCUUCUAUACUUCAUUGUCAAUCAUUUAUUGGUUCUAAAAAGGAUCGGACAAUGUGCUAUUUCAGGGAAGCCCAUGUUUUGGAGUAAAAUGCACAAAUAAUUUCUCUUGCCUUGCAAACACAUUUUUUUUUCUGUCAUUGCAAUGUGCACAAAGGGCCACGAGGAUCUACAAGAAAGCCUGCCUUAUUCUGACCAGGAGUGGGGAGCUGACAAGAGGCUUCACAGAGCAGGUGAUGUUUAGAGAGGAAUGUCUCCCAUUUCCUAGUAGCCUGUGAGGCUCUCAAAACCGGGAAUCAAGUUUCCCUUGUGAACUCAGUUCUCAAUCGUGUAGGGAUAGGGUUCCCAGGUGUGCCUCUAUGUGUAGAGGCUCUAUUAUACCCUGGAUACACAUUGAUAUGCAUGUGCAAUGCUGGAAUCACCAGCCCCCAGGUCCUCCUCCCA